ensembl:lncRNA
AUGGAGUCUGUGCAUUGUCGCUGGAGUGGAACAAAUGGUCAGCCAAAGCAGCCCUUUCCAAAGCCUAGACAUCUAGGAGACACUUUGUCCAGACUGGCUGUACUGAUGGCUCGAGUGGACCAUAGACCAGAGGGACGAUCUCAAAAAUCCCAGCAGUCCAGCAGCCCAUCCAUCAGUAAAGCCAGCGGCAAGGAUCAUAUUCACGCCUCAGACAUGUCCAGCGUGGCCUGCAGUCAGCAGCAGCAGCAAAAAGAGCGCACACUGCGUAAGCCACACCACUGCCAGCACUGUGGCCAGAAGUUCUCUCUGGCUUCUACCCUUCAGAUGCACAGAUGUCAUAAGAGCUCUUCAACAUGCCAGGUGUGUAGAGGGAAGCUGCAGAGGGGCACUACAUGCUCCUCCUGUCCGGCUAAGGUCUCCAGCCUUCGUAGUUCAAAGCAGCAGCCUUACCAUUUUAACCACAGACGUAACAAACAUGACGGCAGUCCCUAUGCCUGCGCCCCGUGUGGAAAAGCCUUCAGCCACAAGCAGGAGCUGCUGUACCACCAGCAGGGUGCAGGGUGUCAGCCAGCCCCUUCUACUGUGACUCACAUGUCUACAGAUGACACACCCACUCCCUCCUAUGCUUCAAUUCCACCAUCACCUUCAGGGAUCAAUCACAAGCCAGUAACUUGUCCUUCAUGCCAUAAAACAUUCCGCACUGCCCAGGGUCUAAGUUGCCAUCAGCGCAUUUAUCACCAAAACAGUGUAAAAAAGAACAAAAAGAAGGUGACGCAGCAUGUCCAAGGUUCUAAAGGCACGUUAUUUGCAUGUCGAUCAUGUGACAAGGUUUUCCCUCAGACCUCUAUGCUGUACCGGCACAGGAAAGAGGAGCACCGGCGAAAGACUUCCACAAAGAGACAGCAGAGGAGCCACAGGAAGCGACGGCAAAGCAGGCAAAGAGGCGAGACGUACCCGUGCCUGCACUGUGGCAAAGUGUUCCUGCACCAUCUCACCCGCUGGGCACACUUCAAGAGCUACAGCAGCCACUAUCAGACCCACCUUUCAAACAGCGCCAAAUCAGACAAAACUCACAAAGCCAGCGAAACCUCAAAAGACCUCAAAACAACCAAAGGAUCUAAACUAACCUCCAGAGCCUCAAAGAAGUCUAAACCUGUUGAUAAGAAGACAAACAAACAUGUGAAAAAGUGCUUUGUUUCAAAAAACAGAAGGCAGGAGAUCGCAGACAAGGAAGAUGCUCGUACUCAGGAUAAGGAUGAAGAUGAGGAUGAAGACGAGGAUGAAGACGGAGAGUUCCCUUGCCCAUCGUGUGAAGAGGUCUUUACGACCAAGUCUGCCCUGCUACACCAUGAAGACAUCCACCAGUCCACACACACCCCAAACCACUGCAGCGUGUGUACUGGUGGGAUUGCUUUACCUCAGAUUGCAGGGUCUUCUGUGAAUAGAGUCUAUCACUGUGUGCCAUGUAAGGAGGCAUAUGUGGACCUGGAUACUUUUCUGCAGCACUGCCAAACACACUUUUAUUGCAGCAAUGAUGAUGAGAAAGAUGAUGAUGCCCAACUUAGUGAUUGA